rnacentral:rRNA from 1 species
UACGGGGGGGGCAAGCGUUGUUCGGAAUUACUGGGCGUAAAGGGCGCGUAGGCGGCCCGCUAAGUCGAACGUGAAAUCCCCGAGCUCAACUCGGGAACUGCGUCCGAUACUGGUGGGCUUGAAUCCGGGAGAGGGAUGCGGAAUUCCAGGUGUAGCGGUGAAAUGCGUAGAUAUCUGGAGGAACACCGGUGGCGAAAGCGGCUCACUGGACCCAAUCUGACACUGAGGUGCGAAAGCUAGGUAGCAACGGG